rnacentral:rRNA from 1 species
UGGGGAAUUUUGCGCAAUGGGCGAAAGCCUGACGCAGCAACGCCGCGUGCGGGAUGAAGGCUCUCGGGUCGUAAACCGCUUUCAGCAGGGAUGAAAUUGACAGUACCUGCAGAAGAAGCCCCGGCUAAAUACGUGCCAGCAGCCGCGGUAAUACGUAUGGGGCAAGCGUUAUCCGGAUUCAUUGGGCGUAAAGAGCGCGUAGGCGGAUUGUUAAGUCAGAUGUGAAAACUGGGGGCUCAACCCGCAGCCUGCAUCUGAAACUGGCAGUCUUGAGUCUGGUAGAGGAAAGUGGAAUUCCCAGUGUAGCGGUGAAAUGCGCAGAUAUUGGGAGGAACACCAGUGGCGAAGGCGGCUUUCUGGGCCACGACUGACGCUGAGGCGCGAAAGCUAGGGGAGCAAACAGG